rnacentral:misc_RNA from 1 species
UAAUAAGUGUUUUAUGGCACCUUUUAAAUCCAUAUCCACCUUGUGUGCAAUGUCAGUCGAUCUUCUUCAUGGAGAUCGACCAAACAUCAACCUUUAUUUUUUAACUCUUUGUCUGAAAAAUAUUAUGAAUAAACAAUUCAAAAUA